CUGCGGGGUGCUUACCAUGCAAGUCGAACGGAGAUUCAGCAAUGGAUCUUAGUGGCGAACGGGUGAGUAACGCGUAGGCAAUCUGCCUUCUAGAUGGGGACAACAUCCCGAAAGGGGUGCUAAUACCGAAUGUUGUAGUUGGUUCGCAUGGACUAGCUACUAAAGGUGGCCUCUGAAUAUGCUACCGCUAGAAGAUGAGCCUGCGUCUGAUUAGCUAGUUGGAGGGGUAACGGCCCACCAAGGCUUCGAUCAGUAGCCGGUCUGAGAGGAUGAACGGCCACACUGGGACUGAGACACGGCCCAGACUCCUACGGGAGGCAGCAGUGGGGAAUCUUCCGCAAUGGACGAAAGUCUGACGGAGCAACGCCGCGUGAGUGAAGAAGGUUUUCGGAUCGUAAAGCUCUUUCGUUAGGGACGAACGUGCUCUUUGUGAAUAAUGAGGAGUAAUGACGGUACCUAAAUAAGAAGCCACGGCUAACUACGUGCCAGCAGCCGCGGUAAUACGUAGGUGGCAAGCGUUGUCCGGAAUUAUUGGGCGUAAAGCGCGCGCAGGCGGGAUAUCAAGUCUGUCUUAAAAGUGCGAGGCUCAACCUCGUGAGGGGACGGAAACUGGUAUUCUUGAGUGUCGGAGAGGAAAGUGGAAUUCCAAGUGUAGCGGUGAAAUGCGUAGAGAUUUGGAAGAACACCAGUGGCGAAGGCGACUUUCUGGACGAUGUCUGACGCUGAGGCGCGAAAGCUAGGGGAGCGAACGGGAUUAGAUACCCCGGUAGUCCUAGCCGUAAACGAUGGGUACUACGGUGUAGGGGGUAUCGACCCCUCC
rnacentral:rRNA from 1 species